rnacentral:rRNA from 1 species
AUGAGUCUACCGCUUACAAGAAAAGAUCUCAUGAUAGUCAAUAUGGGCCCUCAACACCCAUCAAUGCAUGGUGUUCUUCGACUGAUCGUUACUCUCGAUGGUGAGGAUGUUAUUGAUUGUGAACCCAUAUUAGGCUAUUUACACAGAGGAAUGGAGAAAAUCGCGGAAAACCGAACUAUUAUACAAUACUUACCUUAUGUAACAAGGUGGGAUUAUUUAGCUACUAUGUUUACAGAAGCAAUAACAGUAAAUGCACCAGAAUUCUUGGAGAAUAUUCAAAUACCACAAAGAGCCAGCUAUAUUAGGGUAAUUAUGUUAGAAUUAAGCCGGAUAGCUUCUCACUUGCUAUGGCUUGGACCUUUUAUGGCGGAUCUCGGCGCACAGACUCCUUUUUUCUAUAUUUUUAGAGAGAGAGAAUUAAUAUAUGAUCUAUUUGAAGCUGCUACAGGUAUGCGAAUGAUGCACAAUUACUUUCGCAUCGGAGGAGUAGCCGCCGAUCUACCUUAUGGAUGGAUCGAGAAAUGUUUAGAUUUCUGUGAUUAUUUUUUACGCGGAGUUGUUGAAUAUCAACAACUUAUUACACAGAAUCCAAUUUUUUUAGAGCGAGUUGAAGGAGUAGGUUUUAUUAGCGGAGAAGAAGCAGUAAAUUGGGGCUUAUCGGGACCGAUGUUACGAGCUUCUGGAAUACAAUGGGAUCUUCGUAAAGUAGAUCCUUAUGAGUCUUACAACCAAUUUGAUUGGAAAGUCCAAUGGCAAAAAGAAGGGGAUUCGUUAGCUCGCUAUGUACGAGUUGGUGAAAUGAGGGAAUCCAUCAAAAUAAUUCAACAAGCUGUAGAAAAAAUUCCUGGAGGACCUUAUGAGAAUUUAGAAGUCCGACGCUUUAAGAAAGAAAAGAAUUCUGAAUGGAAUGAUUUUGAGUAUAAAUUUCUUGGUAAAAAACCUUCGCCCAAUUUUGAAUUGUCAAGACAAGAGCUUUAUGUAAGAGUAGAAGCCCCAAAAGGUGAAUUAGGGAUUUAUCUAGUAGGAGAUGAUAGCCUUUUCCCCUGGAGAUGGAAAAUCCGUCCACCCGGGUUUAUUAAUUUGCAAAUUCUUCCUCAGCUAGUUAAAAAAAUGAAAUUGGCUGAUAUCAUGACGAUAUUAGGUAGUAUAGAUAUCAUUAUGGGGGAAGUUGAUCGUUGA